rnacentral:lncRNA from 1 species
GAUAGGGCUGCGACCCAGACCUCCCUCUUGCGUCCUAUAUAUAGUGGGGGAGAGGGAGGGGCUGAACACACCAAUUACCACGCCCAAGUGGCAUCCCUACCUCUCCCAUAACUCUGUUUUCUCCUCAGAUAGGUUACGGUUGCACUUGGCGAAGCCCUGGUGGCACUGCUCCACCAUGCCGUCGUGCUGGUUAAGAUCCCGUCUACUACUCCUUCUUCUCUUGCUGGAUCAAGAAGGAGGAGACAUCAUCGAGCCAUAUGUGUGCUGAACGCGGAGGUGUCGUCUGUUCAGCGCUAGAUCGGGACAAAUCGUGAUCAGCUCACGGGACGGAUCGUGAUUGGAUUGUGAAGACGUCCGACUACAUCGACUGCGUUAUAUACGCUUCCGCUUAGCGAUCUACAAGGGUAUGUAGAUGCACUCCCCCUCUCGUAGAUGGUCAUCACCAUGGAUAGAUCUUAUGUGUGUGUAGGACAUUUUUUGUUUCCCAUGCGAUGUUCCCCAACACUUAUACACGACGCUCCUCCCCCUGACCCGUGGGCCCUUGUGUGAGAGCCCCCUUGCAUCUUGGUGGAGAAACGGGCAUGCAUUUACUUGUGGGGGCCUGGUUGCACUUGGGCGGUCAUUUUUCCCCGUCCAAUGCACUUUCUCUUUGCACUGCAUGCACACACCUUGUGCACUCUGUGCUAUUACUUUCCUGAACUGCAUUCAACUUUUGAUUUAGGAGGAGCUUGUGAAUCAUAAUUUUUUAGAAAUAUAUAUAUUGAUGAGCAUUCACUUUCGUGAACUGCAUUCACCUUUUUUAUGAUGGUUUUGUGAAUCGUAUUAUUUUAGAAAUAUAAAUAUCAAUUAGGAUGUUUGUUGCGCUGGUGAACUGUAAUUUUUUUUUGUAGACUGCAUUAUUUUUGUUCAAUUCACAAGGUGUACUUAUCGGUCUUGGAGUACUGGUACUAUUAUCCUUAUACUGUCAGUGCCCAACAUGACUAUUUCAACAUGACAUGGUUGCUAUGUAAACAUAAUAGGAAGCAAGCUAGAUAACUUGUUCAAUCAUGUAAACAAACUACGUACUUGACAUAAGCAAACUUGUUUGACCUGAUACACACGACAUUAGGAAAUUGGUUCAUUCUAACAGAAACAAAUUACAAACUUGAAACAACAUAAAGGAUAAGCACAAGUUAAAGCAACUCCAAGGCCAGAUUUUGAUGUUUUUCAACAUCAAAAUCCUCCGUAGUAGUAGCCAUAAUCAUUAUCCUCCUUCGCCUCCGCCUCUUUUUCCUUUGAGCACUCCAGACCUUCUGCCAUGUUUUUAAUUCUCUUCCAUGACUCAUACGUGGCGUAUGCAUCUAUCGCUCCAUAUUCUAUGAGGUAAUCCGGUAGCAGGCUGAUCCCCCAAAGUUUAUGGUCUUCUUCCGAGUUGAUCUUGUACUUCAUGUGUUUGUAUAAUGGGUGGAUCACGCUGUCUGCAACAACACCCAAAGAGUGGGACCUCUUUCCUCCCACGAAUGGAACUCUCCAUUUGCGCUGCAUGUCGACGUACUUGUUAGGGUUGAUCUCCAAACUAGAUUCCUUUAGCAUCAGCUUGUCACCUUCAGUGCUGAAGCCAAUAAAGGUGCACAACUUCUCCUCCUGCAGGAGCGGGCAAAGUCACUUGGGACUGCAAUGGGGAAGACAUAUUGAAGAUGAAUACAUCAAGUACUUUAUUUAGUAUAAUUCAUGGAUGAAUAAAUUUUCAAAAAUUCAAGCACCACAUGUUAUUUUUCUUUUUGGUAUUUUUAUAAUUGAGUCAAUGAUCUUUUUUCUACUUAGUACUAGUUUAGUUUUCCAUGUUGAACAAAAUAGGAUAUACUAGUGCUUCACCAAGUUCAUUUUUAUAUUUUGUUUUGUUGAUGAAAAAAAGGUUAGGCAAAGUUCAGAAACUAGUUUACCUCAUCAAUUUGAGAAACUACUAUUGCAUGAAGAUCAGAAACUAUACUAGUACAUCAAAUUUCAUGGUGUAUCACUAACUAAACGGAUGCAAUGAAAGAGGAUAAAAUGAGGAUACUAGUACAUUUGUUUGACUCAUGAAAAAAAUGUCAAGCAAAGUUUAGAAACUAGUUUACCUCAUCAAUUCCACAAACUACUAUUCCAUGAAGAUCAGAAACCAUACUUCUACAUCAAAUUUCACGGUGUAUCACUAAUUAAAUAGAUGCAAUGAAAGAGGAUAAAAUGAGUGGGAUGGUUCACCAUUUUGUUGCCGCGGUGAUGUGGUAUACCACAUAGAGUUCCUCCACGCAUAACUUGAGAACUAUAACCCUCUGUGGAGGAUUACCUUCCCUAGUAUACUCCACAUUAACACCAAUGAACCGAGGGAUCAGGCCAGCUAUCUUCGUCCUCGUCCUGUUGAUCAUCUCGUUAGCUACAUCUAGAUUGCUCAUGCACACGACAUCCAACUUCUCCUUCCAUGGAUGUCAACCUCACUUAGGUGCUUGGUGUAGUCAAGCUUAUGACCGGGGACCUGAACGUCGUUGCCCUCGGUGUUCUGGUUGGACGUAUCACCACGCCGACGCUUGGCAGAUGGCUCCUCCACCAUUGCCCUCCUCCAACGAUGGCAGGACUGAGACUGAUAUGUUGUGAGGAGUUGCUAGUUAUGAUGGAGCCGCAGUGGUGUUUUCAGAAUGGAGCGGGAAUGAAGCGGUCGUGGCUUUUUGUGGCGUGGUGUGGGUCGUGGAGGAGGCGGUUGGACGCGGGCUCGCUGUUGUAGUGGAGGUAAUGGACGUGUGAUUGCCGUUGUAGUGGAGGGAGAGGAAGGAACGAUGGCGGUUUUCGAGGGAGGAAGCAGUUCUGAUUUUUUUUCACGUAUAGUGGUGGGGGUGGUGGUGUCUCGCAUAAUGUGGCAUCUAAAGAUAGAACGUGAGUGGGGUUGAUGUUCUGUGAGUGGGCUCAAAAUCUGAAAUAGCGUCCCCUCGUUUUUCCCGCACGCAACUGAUAAUUUUGUGCACUGCGUGGAAAAUAGAAAAAGGACUUCAUUCGUAUGCUGCUCUGCUUAACUAACCGGGCUACAUUCUGUAUUUUAACUGAUCUGCAAUGUAGUUAUUGCUUGAAGUGGUCAACUACAUUAUUAUAGGCUCCCUUUAUUUUUUCAGAACAAACUGCAGUUUUUUGCAGUGCCCACACAAUUUUUUUUGUAGUCACUUCUUAUUUUAGUGGACCGUGGUAUUUUAGUGGGCCGAAUACACAUUCGGCCCAAGUAAGCCUGCCGACACAGGAAAUCAGGUAUGAUGUGUGUAUGCGCUAAGGUUUAGUCCCACCUCGCCAGCUGAGAUCGGCCGCGAGCGGUUUAUAAGCCACCACGAGGCAACCGUUACGAACUCCUCUAGCUACUUAUUGGCACUUAUACAUGGCGCUACUUUGCACCUAGCCUGUGGGCCCUUGUGUGCCAGGCCCCAGGAAAUGUGGCGCGGAAACAGACACGCGUUUACUUGUGGGGGUGCCCCUCUGCACGUGGGCGGUCAUUUUUUUUAUUUUUCCCAGUCUAAUGCACCUUCUCUUUGCACUGCAUGCACAAACCUUGUGCACUGCUUGUUAUUUCUUUCCUGAACUGCAUUCAACUUUUGNUAUAUAUAUAUAUAUAUUGAUGAGCUGCGUUUAGUGGACGGUCAUUAUUUUCGUCCAGUACACUUUCUCUUGCACUCUAUGUACACCCCUUGUGCACUGCCCGACAUUACCUUGUGAACUGCAUUCACGCUUGCGAAUUAUAAUUUUUUAGACACAUAAAUAUUAAUAUGAUUUGUUUUGGUGGGUGGGAGGUGUUGUAGUCAAAGUACACUUUUUCCAGACUCCGUUUUUCUUGGUAACAGAAGUUUUAUUUAUUGUCCUUCAUUCUUGGUACUUUAAUUUUGCUGCUCGGCUUGGACAUUUUGCCUUGCUCUUCUAUAUAAUUAGGCCAUCUUCUAACCUUCAUUUGCAUUUCCAUCUCCUCUGUAGCUGCAACUUCUCUGCUUCCUCCAGUUCCCUCUAACCAGGGACCAGCCGUUUUGCUGCGAUGGCUCCAGGCCCGUGCCCAAAUCUCUCAUGCUGUGUCCAUGGUUGUGGUGUGCCUAUGCGUUGAGAUUGCUCAGCUUGCUCGCAUGCUUGGCGUGGCCGCCGAGUGGGCAAGGUCUUGUGCGCAGUUGGGCGAGCGGAGCAGCUCUUAUAUCGCACAGUUUUCAGUGAGGGUUUGGAUCUGGACCAUAUCAACGUGGAUGAGUUCUAUUCUGCACAAGUGUGUGUGCAUUUUAUGUGUACUUUGUGAGUUCUACUCCGCACAAGCAUGGACCUCGCUUACAUCAGAAGUUCAGGGAACUGUGCAUGCGUUUUAUCUGUACUGCUUUUGUUAGUGUGUUAGUGCACUUCAUAUGGCUCUCAUAUGUUGUGUGUGCAGGUUAGUUUUUUUCCUCACAUCUACGGAGCUCGUGUUUUGUUUUUUUGCAUUACUAUGAUGCUCCAUUAAUAUAGAGUUCGUACUACAUGGUUACAAGAUUUUGAACUACACGGGAAUGAGAUUAGCACUACCAGCUUGUACAUUGUUUAUUUUGCGAAGUGCAUCCCUGUUAGAAAGAGGAUUGCGGUGUGUCAUGUUCCGCACUACAUGUACCUCGCUUACAUAAGAGGUUCGGGGAAUUGUGUGUGUUUUUUAUCUGUACUGCUUUGUUAGUCUGUUGGUGCACUUCAUAUAGCUCUCGUAUGUUGUGUGUGCAUCUUUUUUGUGUGUGCACAAAUAUGAUAAUUGUACUGCUAGUAUCGUCCUGUAACGAUUUUAUUAUUUUUUGCAGAAAAUCCCACAACGAGCUGUUAUGUAUCUCUGGUUGAAGAAGAAGGGUAUUCUACACGUUGUUCUCGUCAAUGGGCACCCGAGUCGAGUGAACUACAGUGUAGGCGUUAAUGGCGGCUGUAUCUGCAGACAGGCUGGAAGGAAUUCGUCAUUGAAAAUGACCUGAAGUCUCAGCAAGUUGUUGUCCUCAACUUUUUUGAAUUCGAGGAUCGUUUCUUUGAAAUCAUGUUUAACGUGAUUGGUUAAGAUUUUAUGAG